AUUGAACGCUGGCGGCAGGCCUAACACAUGCAAGUCGAGCGGAUGAAGGGAGCUUGCUCCUGGAUUCAGCGGCGGACGGGUGAGUAAUGCCUAGGAAUCUGCCUGGUAGUGGGGGAUAACGUCCGGAAACGGGCGCUAAUACCGCAUACGUCCUGAGGGAGAAAGUGGGGGAUCUUCGGACCUUACGCUAUCAGAUGAGCCUAGGUCGGAUUAGCUAGUUGGUGGGGUAAAGGCCUACCAAGGCGACGAUCCGUAACUGGUCUGAGAGGAUGAUCAGUCACACUGGAACUUAGACACGGUCCAGACUCCUACGGGAGGCAGCAGUGGGGAAUAUUGGACAGUGGGCGAAAGCCUGAUCCAGCCAUGCCGCGUGUGUGAAGAAGGUCUUCGGAUUGUAAAGCACUUUAAGUUGGGAGGAAGGGCAGUAAGUUAAUACCUUGCUGUUUUGACGUUACCAACAGAAUAAGCACCGGCUAACUUCGUG
rnacentral:rRNA from 1 species